GGGUCUGUCGUAUAAUGGCUUAUUAUAUCCGGCUCCAACCCGGACGACGGGAGUUCGAUUCUCUCCAGGCCCA
rnacentral:tRNA from 1 species